GGCGGGUCCAAGAAGCCACGAGAUUGCAACCCCACCUAGAAACCCUCCAAGAUGUCCCCAGUUAUCGAUGCCUCUAGACAUUAUCCCAAUAGCCAUAUUUAAGAUUAUUAUUUGAGAGAUGUGCUGAAGAUCUUCUUUGCCUCUACCGACUAGUUUUCUAUGUCUUGCAACAAACACAGCAAAGGAUCCAACCAAUCCAAAGAUUGCUCCUGAUGCACCAAUCGAAGGUGCCUUGCAGAACCAAUAACUCAUGGAUGAACUUGCAAUUGCC
rnacentral:misc_RNA from 1 species